rnacentral:rRNA from 1 species
UACGGAAGGCAGCAGUGGGGAAUAUUGCACAAUGGGCGAAAGCCUGAUGCAGCUAUGCCGCGUGUAUGAAGAAGGCCUUAGGGUUGUAAAGUACUUUCAUCGGGGAGGAAAAAACAAAACUAAUAAUUUUAUUUCUUGACGUUACCCGAAAAAGAAGCACCGGCUAACUCCGUGCCAGCAGCCGCGGUAAUACGGAGGGUGCUAGCGUUAAUCAGAAUUACUGGGCGUAAAGAGCACGUAGGUGGUUUUUUUAAAGUCAGAUGUGAAAUCCCUGGGCUUAACCUAGGAACUGCAUUUUGAAACUGAAAUACUAGAGUAUCGUAGAGGGAGGUAGAAUUCUAGGUGUAGCGGUGAAAUGCGUAGAUAUCUGGAGGAAUACCUGUGGCGAAAGCGGCCUCCUAAACGAAUACUGACACUGAGGGUGCGAAAGCGUGGGGAGCAAACAGGGAUUAGGAUACC